rnacentral:lncRNA from 1 species
AAUGAAGGUCAGAAAUCCAAGAAACAAAAAACCUGCAAAAUGCACAUGGGGAUGAGGCGAAAGUCAGCAAUGGACCUUUUAAAAAAGCACAAUUCUGAGGUUUGCUGUUCAAAGGCAUUCCAACAAAAUUGAACCAUGGAAGAAACAAACAAGCUGCUGAUUUUCAUCAUCCUUGAGGCUCUAGAAUCUAUAAAAUAAAAAACAGCAAAAAAAAGGAGCAAAAAUAAUAUUUUAUUCUAAACAAGUGUUAGCCAAGACUAGUAUUACAACAAUUAAUACAUUAAUUACAAUAUAUUAAUUCUAAUAUGCUUUAAAUUGAUCACUCUUUUUAACAAACAAUCUAGUGGCUCACACUGCCCAGGUC